rnacentral:rRNA from 1 species
UACGAAGGGGGCUAGCGUUGCUCGGAAUGGCUGGGCGUAAAGGGCGCGUAGGCGGCUCAUCCAGUCAGGCGUGAAAUUCCUGGGCUCAACCUGGGGACUGCGCUUGAGACGUGUGGGCUUGAGUGGGGAAGAGGGUCGUGGAAUUCCCAGUGUAGAGGUGAAAUUCGUAGAUAUUGGGAAGAACACCGGUGGCGAAGGCGGCGACCUGGUCCUUGACUGACGCUGAGGCGCGAAAGCGUGGGGAGCAAACAGG